rnacentral:tRNA from 2 species
GUGCCCGUAGCUCAGCUGGAUAGAGCAUCAGCCUUCUAAGCUGAGGGCCGUAGGUUCGAAUCCUACCGGGCACA